AUCAAGCAUACAGUACAAAUUAUCUACACUGCUCACUGCUUAGAUCUUUAUAGCUCCCAGUUACACAUAAACAAGGCUGCAAGUUACAAUAAAACCUAAAGGAUCCCUGUGAGGAAAUUGGGCUUUGGCUUGCAUGUGUAGGUGCCUUGUUAUCAAAGCUCUGGACUUUGAAACCAACUUAAGGACUACAAGCAGCUUCCCACCUCCAACAGACUGCAAACCAUCACAUUCAUUAACAAGAAAGUACGAGUUUAACCAGCGACUGCUGUGCUCGUAGACGCUGUUAUAAUCUUGCAAAAUGGCAUUAUUUACCAACAGGGAGAUAUGAAAUAUCCGGGGAUUAAACCUGGAUUUUAUGUCGCUGUGACGGGCAGGUGUGUAAACGUUCCUCCGUCCAGCUCCCGUGUCUCCCCCUGCUGCUCACAUAGCACCACUGCCCGCUCUCCCCACUCGUACAGUACAUUCCAGUAUAUGGCUUGUUUGCAAAUGUAAACUGAAGAAGAAGAAGAAGAAGAAGAAGAAGAAGAAGAAGAAAAACUCAAACAGCCUUCCGUACAAAAGAGAGAAAUAACCAAGCUGAGCUUCUGAGCUAAAAUCAAACCCUACUACUAUUUAAUUAAACGAGCAUGACUGCGUUUUAAAUCUUCAAAUCCUCCAGAUGGUACGAACGUAACACACGAACGAAACGAAAACUCGCAGAUGUAGCUUUUACUGUAUAUGAAUAAAACAUUUCAGGUAUUCUUUUUUUUUUUUUUAAAGGGUUCUCAUUUGCUGCACUCACAAGCACUAGGUUUUCAGCUGUACUAGUAUAAAUAGUAUAUUCUUAAUAGCGUAUAUACUGUAUUUGUGCAACGCAGGAGAGAAAAACUAUGAAUAUUCUGUGUAUAGUUGCUGCAUGUUCUGGUAGGCACUUGUUAGGCAUACUCCCUAUAUCCCACAAAGUACAGUAAUACUCUAGCUGCAGUUAGGAUUUGUUUUUUAAUCAAACUAUCUGAAAAUGUAUUCUCUUUCUGCAUGGAGAUGGAUACUCAAAAUAUAUAUAGCAUAUUUGUAACCAUUUUACUCUUAUAUGCACUGGAAGGACAAAAUGCAGUUUAUUACUGUGUGAGUGGUGCUUCUUGUAGUCUACUUUGAAUUGUGUGACUUGCCUGGAUAAAAAUAGAAUCUGACUUUAAAAUGUGUGAAGACAGACUGAGAGACGGACCCAUGCUUUUCAGACUAAAAUGACCCUGUUCUACGCUUGAAACGAUCCAUCUUCUCACCUCAAUGCGAAGCAUACAUGGAUAUAUAAGUACACGGUAGGAAAAAGAAAAAAAAAGCAGACUACUCCUUUAAUUCAGCCACGCAAAAAUGCUAUGAACAACACCACAAUGACCACCAGAGAAGCAGGAAGAGUUCUGAAAUAAUCAACUUCAACAGUGAAAUUUUAAACCUACUGCAAGAAGGACAACAAUGUACUGUAGACCCUGUGUCUCUACGCUAAUAUAAACAAAACAAACAGGAAUAUAUUUCAAACACAACACAAACGGCUGCAGGCUCAAGGCUAUCAUCUAUUUUUCAAUAUGUUUUUCUUUUUUUUUAUCGUUCUGGAGAAUAUGCGAGCGUGUCGCGAACAGAAAGGUCUAGACCUACAACUAUAAGAAGCACGAUUGAGGAAACGAGGAAUAAAUUUCAGGAUAAUGUUGCAACAACCUUUAAAAUGCCUUGCUAAGUAUUUAUUACCCUUUAACCUUUAUGGAUUUUUACACAUUAAACUGACAAACUUUUAUGUUGUUUUUUUUUCGUGGAAUUUUAUUUGAUAGGCCAACACAAGGUAGUGUAGCACUGUGAAGCAGAAGAAAAUAAAUGUCACACGCCCUCAUGUUCAUUACAGCGACACCUUAAAAAUCCAGCCAAAUCCAGAGGUUUCUACAGAACACUAAUGAAGAACAAGGAAAACACACAAUUCAUCUCUGAUUAACUUGUGGAGCUUUAUAAAGCAGUGUGGAAAUGUUACAUGACAUAUGAUGGCGGCAGCAUUUUGCUGUGGGGAUGCUGCUUGAUAAAAGGCUGGAUGGAGUUAAAUACAGUUUGUAAAAUACUGGGAACGAGGUUAACUUCCAGCAGGGCAACGAGAGUAAAAACAUAAUUUAAGCUUUGACCGAAUUGCUUAUAUUAAAGCAUACUUGCGUUUUAAAAUGGACCAGUCAAAGUCAUAACCUAAAUCCAACUGAGAGUCAGUGGAUUGUCCACAUGCAGGUGAACCAUGGAGAGUAAUCCUAUGAGUGCUUUCAGCUAUUUUGCAACAAAGUUUGCACUAAAUUUCAUUCUCUAGUUGUUCAACAAAAACAUCAACUUAAUGGAGCCGAAUGUAAGGAUAGGCAAUAUGGACAGAAACUCUUCUCUUAAAUUUGAGACAAUGACAAAAAUAACAAUAAAAAGUAUGUAAAUAUUGAUUUUCAAUGUUACCUUUACUUUUACGACCAUUACUGUUUGCUAUUUCCUAGGAAAACUACUACAAAUGUCUCUUAAAAAUAAAACUUACCCAUUAUCAGACUACUUUCUUACGCUACGGCAUUAAUUAAGGCAGCUGUAUCAAUAAUUACUUUUAUUCAUACUUUCAAAUAAACAGAUUUUUAUUGACGCUCUCAAGGAACCAAAAGUGCUAAAAAAAAAAACAGUUUUUGGAGUUUGCAAUUAGAGUUUUCCGUUACGAAGACAAAAUAAUGGUUAAAAAAUGUCUCUAAAAUGAUUAAAGAUGCAAUAAAUACCAAUCCCUAACACACACACACACACACACACACACACACAACACUCACAGAUUUUUAUUUAUGAAACCAUUUGAAAACCAUGUAUAAUUUAUUUCUUCACUACCCAGUCACGCACUACCAUCUGUUGGUCUGUUGUAAAAUCCCAGAAGAUUUUGUUGCAGUUUGUGGUAGUAAUGUGAGGAAAUGUGAAAAGGUUCAAAGGGCACGACAACUUUCGCAAGGCACUAAAAUUUAACUUUUUUUUUUUUUUUUUGCAACCGAGAGAAGAAUUAAGCACCACCACAAUUAGCCGAAGUAAUCUAAGGAAUAUAUAACUAUGGACAGUGAAGGACACGUGAUGCUAAUGCAACAAGGGGAAGGGGAAAUGGGGCGUAUGCUAUAGCACAUUAUGACACACUGGAGCAAAAAGGUUCCUUCUCUUCCAAACCUCGUCUCCUAUCAAACACCUUAUGAUACAAGAAAUCAGCCACCGAUGGGACAAGUUCUAGCCCUCACCCAGGUCACAUGAAGAUUGGCUACUUUUGUUAUUCCAAAAACAACAUGAGAAAAAGAAUUAAAUAUAAGUGAUCGAGAAAGAACUCAUAGUGUAAUUGUGAAACCAAACAUCUCAAAAACCAACACCAAGCUACUACUAUUUAGACCAAUGAUACCACAAGGCUGGUUGUACUCAUCUAGCUACAGUCAAUAGUGCAUUUGAUAUAGGUGUUCACAUAAAAACACGUACGUAGAAAUUUAGGUGCCAUGAAGGAAUGUUAGCUCACCGAAACACACCCACUACACCGAAACAGUUUGACUCUCUGUCUCUGCCUUUCUUUCUUCCUUCCUUUCUUUUUUUUUUCUGUUUUUUUUUUUUCAUUUUCGUUGGAAAAAGUGAUGAUGUUAGUUUGGCAGUGUUUGGAACUUGAACGGACGACGAACAUCACGAGCUGCGUUGUGCCAUACGAGUGGCGAUACUGUUGGAAAGAGAUCUCGGCAGUUGCUUACAUAUUUCUAUUUAGUGCAUUGUCUGUUAAGGCAUGAGAUUUAACCCUCCACGUGCUGUGUAGAGACAAAUGUAGCACUAGCAUGCAGCAAUAUUGCCAACUAGGCAACAACAGCUACCGAAUAGGAACCAUACACUUCAUAGGUUUUUUUUUAUGCACACCAUAGAGACAGGCCCAAUCAAAUGUUCAAUAACAUGCUAAUUUUACUGAGGACCAACCACACACUUUCAAAGAUCUUUUCUUACAAGUGUUUAUUUUCUCUCAUCAAGCUAAAGAAGCUGGAGCAGGAUGCGUGCCAGCUGGCCUAAGCCAAGGAAUUGUUACAGGUGCCUUAUUAGCCCAAAAAGGUUUGGAGAGCUGUUUUCUUAUAGUACCUGCGCUGCAUAUUGCAAAGGAAGCCCUACAGUUGAGAUAUUCCACUUAUCAACAAUUUGAUUAGGCUAUUUACCGCACACAGACGCUCACUGACACACAAACACCGAAGGAAAGAGACAUGACUGUGCACUAGUGACGGACUGAUAUCAAAGAAGCUGCACUCCAUCACAACAGAAAGUUUUUUGUUUUUUUUUUCCAGGACACACACACACACACACACACACACACACACACACACACACACACACACACACACACACACACACACACACACACACGCGCACACACUUGGACAAAUAAAAGAGACAGACUUAUAUGCAAAAAUCACAAACAUUCAAACAUAUUUGCUCAUUUAAAGUCAUUCAGACGUAUCUAGACUAAAGGUGUGUUUGUGUGUAUGUGUUUCUUUCGUAGGCCUUUCGGUAGUGUUCAACACAUAAAUCAGUAUUUUAGGAAAGCAUACAUUUAGAGGCCCGUAGUUUGGAUCCAUCCAGUAGAUCAAUAUCAAACCACUGAGCCUUAAGGCCACCAUCUUUUUUUCUUUUAGAAUAACAGGAAAAAAAAAAAAAGAAAACUUUUUUUUGGGGAAACUUAAUGUGCCAGUGUCUAUACUCAUUACUCUUCAUACCUCAAAAUAAGAAAAGGAAAAUCUAGUGCCAUUGUAUUUGUCAUUCUUUCAGAAAUAAGUUUCUUUU